rnacentral:rRNA from 1 species
ACGCGGUCGCCCUUCUUGGUCAUUUAGAGGAAGUAAAAGUCGUAACAAGUUUCCGUAGGUGAACCUGCGGAAGGAUCAUUACCGAGUUAGGGUCUUAUGGCCCGAUCUCCAACCCUUUGUUUACUAUACCAUGUUGCUUUGGUGGGCCGCUUUUCGGGGCCGCCGGGGGCUUGUACCCCUGGCCAGUGCUCGCCAGAGCCUUAUUAAAUUCUUUCAUAAUUAUGUUGUCUGAGUAUAAAUAUAAACGUUUAAAACUUUCAACAACGGAUCUCUUGGUUCUGGCAUCGAUGAAGACGCAGCGAAAUGUGAUAAGUAAUGCGAAUUGCAGAAUUCAGUGAGUCAUGAAUCUUUGAACGCAUAUUGCGCCCUUUGGUAUUCCGAAGGGCAUGCCUUUCGAGCGUCAUUAUCAACCAUCAAGCCUGGCUUGUCGUUGGACCCCUUCUGCUGAAAUAUACGGCAGGUCCGAAAGAUAAUGACGGCGUCGUGUUUGCCCUAGAUGCAACGAGCUUUUUCAUAGCACGCAUUGAAGUGGUCGGCCGCCCGGUCUUUAACCAUCAUUUUCUAAGGUUGACCUCGGAUCAGGUAGGAUACCCGCUGAACUUAAGCAUAUCAAUAAGCGGAGGA